rnacentral:lncRNA from 1 species
GCCACAAUUUAUUUGGUAUAAAAUAGUAAAAAAUGAUGAACGGGAUAGGAAGACAGUACUACUGAUUACUGAAGAUAUGGAAAACUCAAACACGCACACUAUCUGUAUGUCCACCUGUCCAAGCCAGUUAGGAAGUAUUGGCCCAUGUGGCCAUGUCGUUAUCUUUUUUUCCGAGAGGACGGCAAGAGAUUUACUCAAAGUUUUCUUAGUUAGGUUGGUGCGCGAUGCCUAUACGAAAGAUGUUAACCUAAAAUAAUGAUGAAAUGCGAAUUUAUUAUCUUACAAUGCUUAAAGUAGCAUCCCACAUUGAAUCAAAUAAAAAAUACAAUAUAAAUUGAUCGCAUCCAGUAUUAAAUUUAAACAACUUUUUAUCAUAAUGGCUAUGUUACACUGAUUGUUGGUUUUGAUAGAGGUAAAAGAUAAAAUUAGAAUGAAUAAUUC